GGCCACUUAGCUCAGUUGGUUAGAGCGUAUGCUUAACAUUAGCAAAAUUGGUACGCAUAAGGUCGGCGGUUCGACCCCGCCAGAGGUCA